rnacentral:rRNA from 1 species
UACGGAGGAUGCAAGCGUUAUCCGGAAUGAUUGGGCGUAAAGCGUCCGCAGGUGGCUGUGUAAGUCUGCUGUUAAAGAGUCUAGCUCAACUAGAUAAAAGCAGUGGAAACUACACGGCUGGAGUACGUUCGGGGCAGAGGGAAUUCCUGGUGUAGCGGUGAAAUGCGUAGAGAUCAGGAAGAACACCAGUGGCGAAGGCGCUCUGCUAGGCCGUAACUGACACUGAGGGACGAAAGCUAGGGGAGCGAAUGGG